UGUGGCAAGCGAGCACAGUACAACUACGGGAGGUACACGGUUUGGUUGUCUGUCUCCCUUGUGCAUGAGGCAUACCCAGGAGAGAGCCAUGGUGUAAAGGUAGCAUCCAUUACCCAAAACAGGGGUUCGUGGUCCUCCAUAUGUUCUUCGAUCUUGAGAAGAGAAAGCAAUGCUGCUGCGCUGUCGUGCCGGGUGUCGUUGGACACAACAGCAUAACAAACACUUCUCCUUUCGGCCCGCUUCUUUCUGGACCUUCCUGAUGUGGUCAUCGCUGAUAUAGGAGCACCCACUUUCUAAUUACUUCAAUGAAGUUGCGCGCAGUUAAUGUCCUCCUCAGCAGGCCUCUUUCCUCCCAUAUUGCGAAAUCAAUUUCUUGGUCAUCUUGGAUGCCCAGACUUUCUUCAGUAAGUGUUUCUGUACCUGGACACUGUUCGCAAUCC